ACACUGCUGAUGAGUCCCACAAUAGGACGGAACGGCUGUCCAGUGC
rnacentral:hammerhead_ribozyme from 1 species